UUUUUUUUCAUUCUCCCCUCCCUCUCUCUCCGGUAUUUUUUUCCUCCUCCCCCUGUGUCCGCCCACAGCCCUCCCUCCCUCGUGGCGCCGCCCUCUGCCCAUUCCUCCUCCCGCGCCCUCCCAUGGCGGCGGCGCCCUAGCAGCUCCAUCCUCCUCCCCUCCCUUCAGCCUCUCAGAUCCACUCGGGCGGCGCAGCCCUCCUGCAGGGAAUUUUUUUCCCGGCGCAGCCAGUCGUCGCAGCACCCUCCCACCCCAACGGUGCUGAGGGCGAGCUCCGACGGGCGGGUGCCGGGGCCAAGUUCCAGCGGCGCGCCCAAGGGCGGGCGUUGAGGGCGAGCUUCGGGCGGGUGCCGGGGUCAAGCUCCGGCGGCGCACCCAAGGGCGGGCGUUGACGACGAGCUCCGACGGGCAGGUGCUGGGGUCAAGCUCCGGCGGCGCGCCCAAGGGUCGUGCAGUCUGUUAAGAUCCAGCAGGUGUGCCCCCGGCGGCUUCAGCUGCGGCCUCUCCUUGGGACUGCGAGGGCUCAAGGCCUGCGGGUGUGCAGGUGCUCUCACCCUCCGCGUCAGGCAGCACGCGAGGCUCCGAGAAUGGAGAUCUCCUCUUCUGGAUCUAGCGCCCCACCCUCAACGAGUCCAGAUGUAGUAGUGGAUUUAUGAGUUCUGAAGAUCAAUUCAGGCUAUGGUUGUGCUGGGACCAACGUCCUUGGAGGGGGCUUUGGCCAUAUUGCUAAACCUUUUGCAAGUUCUUCUCCGGCUAGCUACAUCAAAUAUCUGUGGAUCUUCUUCAAGCCUCAAAGGUUAAUAACUCAAUUCUCCCGCGCCCUCCGCCCAUGUGUGGGAUUAGUAAUGUUUACUGUUCAACUGCCAUGUUUGCAAGCAGCACCUAGUGUUUUUGCGUGUAAUAGGACCAAAUGCCUUGUCCAAAGUAGAGUUUGCUCAGGCGUGUAACUAAGUGGACUUCCCCUGUUAUUGAACAGCUGAUGCGCUGGUGUCGACAGGACUGGCUGAAUUGGGCUACAACUAUUUAAAUAUUGGUAUACCACUUGGCUCAAUUCAGCAGAUUGUUGCAUCAAGGCAAGGGACUUUUGUCUAGAAAAAAAUAAUCAUACUCUUGUUUAUUGCUCGCUUCCACAAUGAUGCAAUAUUAUUAUAUGAAAAUAUUUUUUUU